GAUGAAGAACGCAUCGAAAUGCGAUAAGUAAUGUGAAUUGCAGAAUUCAGUGAAUCAUCGAAUCUUUGAACGCACAUUGCGCCCGCCAGUAUUCUGGCGGGCAUGCCUGUUCGAGCGUCAUUUCAACCAUCAAGCCCCCGGGCUUGUGUUGGGGACCUGCGGCUGCCGCAGGCCCUGAAAAGCAGUGGCGGGCUCGCUGUCACACCGAGCGUAGUAGAUUUUAUCUCGCUCAGGGCGUGCUGCGGGUUCCGGCCGUUAAACCACCUUCAUAACCCAAGGUUGACCUCGGAUCAGGUAGGAAGACCCGAUGAACUUAAGCAUAUCAAUAAGCGGAGGA
rnacentral:misc_RNA from 1 species